AAUAUUCGACAAUGGGUGAAAGCCUGAUCCAGCCAUGUCGCGUGUGUGAAGAAGGUCUUCGGAUUGUAAAGCACUUUAAGUUGGGAGGAAGGGCAGUAAGUUAAUACCUUGCUGUCUUGACGUUAUCGACAGAAUAAUCACCGGCUACUUUCGUGCCAGCAGCCGCGGUAAUACGAAGGGUGCAAGCGUUAAUCGGAAUUACUUGGCGUAAAGCGCGCGUAGGUGGUUCGUUAAGUUGGAAGUGAAAGCCCCGGGCUUAACCUGGGAAUUGUUUUCAAAACUGACGAGCUAGAGUACGGUAGAGGGUAGUGGAGUUUCCUGUGUAGCGGUGAAAUGCGUAGAUAUAGGAAGGAACAUCAGUGGCGAAGGCGACUACCUGGACUGAUACUGACACUGAGGUGCGAAAGCGUGGGGAGCAAACAGG
rnacentral:rRNA from 1 species